AGAACGAACGCUGGCGGCAGGCUUAACACAUGCAAGUCGAACGCCCCGCAAGGGGAGUGGCAGACGGGUGAGUAACGCGUGGGAACCUACCCUUCGGUACGGAAUAACUCGGGGAAACUCGUGCUAAUACCGUAUAUCCCGGUAACGGGAAAGAUUUAUCGCCGAAGGACGGGCCCGCGUCAGAUUAGCUAGUUGGUGGGUAACGGCCUACCAAGGCUACGAUCUGUAGCUGGUCUGAGAGGAUGAUCAGCCACACUGGGACUGAGACACGGCCCAGACUCCUACGGGAGGCAGCAGUGGGGAAUCUUGGACAAUGGGCGCAAGCCUGAUCCAGCCAUGCCGCGUGAGUGAUGAAGGCCUUAGGGUUGUAAAGCUCUUUCACCCACGACGAUGAUGACGGUAGUGGGAGAAGAAGCCCCGGCUAACUUCGCGCCAGCAGCCGC
rnacentral:rRNA from 1 species